UACAGAGGGUGCAAGCGUUGUUCGGAAUUAUUGGGCGUAAAGGGUGCGUAGGCGGUGCGGUAAGUCUGUAGUGAAAUCUCUGGGCUCAACUCAGAGUCUGCUAUAGAAACUGCCGUGCUUGAGUGUGGGAGAGGUGAGUGGAGUUCCCGGUGUAGCGGUGAAAUGCGUAGAUAUCGGGAGGAACACCUGUGGCGAAAGCGGCUCACUGGACCACAACUGACGCUGAUGCACGAAAGCUAGGGGAGCAAACAGG
rnacentral:rRNA from 1 species